GCCGGGAUGGCGGAAUCGGUAGACGCAUCCGACUUAAAAUCGGCCGCCCUUUGGGCGUGCGGGUUCAAGUCCCGCUCUCGGCACUA
rnacentral:tRNA from 1 species